GCUGUUCGCCAUUUAAAGUGGUACGUGAGCUGGGUUUAAAACGUCGUGAGACAGUUUGGUCCCUAUCUGCCGUGGGCGUUGGAAGUUUGAAGGGGGCUGUUCCUAGUACGAGAGGACCGGAAUGGACAGAUCUCUGGUGGACCGGUUGUUACGCCAGUAGCAUAGCCGGGUAGCUAAAUCUGGAAAAGAUAAACGCUGAAAGCAUCUAAGCGUGAAACUUGCCUUAAGAUAAGACUUCCCUUGCACUUUAAGUGCACUCAAGAGUCGUUCUAGACCAGGACGUUGAUAGGUCAGAUGUGGAAGUGCAGUAAUGCAUGAAGCUAACUGAUACUAAUUGCUCGUGAGGCUUGAUCCUAUAACUUUA
rnacentral:rRNA from 1 species